GACGGGGCCGCACAAGCGGUGGAGCAUGUGGUUAAUUCGAAGCAACGCGAAGAACCUUACCAGGUCUUGACAUCCCUGACAACCAAGAGAUUGGGCGUCCCCUUCGGGGGACAGGGUGACAGGUGGUGCAUGGUUGUCGUCAGCUCGUGUCGUGAGAUGUUGGGUUAAGUCCCGCAACGAGCGCAACCCUCGCCUCUAGUUGCCAGCAUUCGGUUGGGCACUCUAGAGGGACUGCCGGCGACAAGUCGGAGGAAGGUGGGGAUGACGUCAAAUCAUCAUGCCCCUUAUGACCUGGGCUACACACGUGCUACAAUGGGCGGUACAAAGGGCUGCGAACCCGCGAGGGGGAGCGAAUCCCAAAAAGCCGCUCUCAGUUCGGAUUGCAGGCUGCAACUCGCCUGCAUGAAGCCGGAAUCGCUAGUAAUCGCGGAUCAGCAUGCCGCGGUGAAUACGUUCCCGGGCCUU
rnacentral:rRNA from 1 species